GAACGCACAUUGCGCCCCUUGGUAUUCCAUUGGGCAUGCCUGUUCGAGCGUCAUUUAACCCUUCAAGCUCACGCUUGGUGUUGGGCGUCUGUCCGCGCUUUCGGGCGUGGACUCGCCCCAAAUCCAUUGGCAGCGGCUCCGCCGGCUUCUCGCGCAGCACUUUGCGCUCAGGAAGACCUUCGGCGGGCUCGCGUCCAUCAAGUCACCCCUCAUUUUGACCUCGAAUCAGGUAGGGAUACCCGCUGAACUUAAG
rnacentral:misc_RNA from 1 species